GCCUGGGUGGCUCAGUCGGUUAAGCGUCCGACUUCAGCUCAGGUCAUGAUCUUGCGGUCCGUGGGUUCGAGCCCCGCGUCAGGCU
rnacentral:tRNA from 1 species